rfam:Phytophthora sojae unplaced genomic scaffold PHYSOscaffold_6, whole genome shotgun sequence.
GCGCGGCUGGCGCAAUGGAAAGCGUAUCAAACUUCGAAUCUGGGGGUUGCGGGUUCGAGUCCCGCGUUCCGUA